CCCGAAGGGCUCCGGGGCGGUCCAGCACUGAUUGGACAGCAGAGUAUUGGGUCCGCCCUCCCCCUCUCCGGGCACGUUACUUUGCCGCCUCCACCGAGGGCUGCUUCGGCUCCUCCCCUGAAGACCUGCACGUGGCGGUCAGAGGAAGGCAAGUGGGAUGGAACUUGGAAAUGGGGGCGGUGAUGUAGCCAGUCUGCCUAGGACGAGGCUGAAGUUGGUUGCUAGCUUCCUGUUCUUCAGUCCUACUUUCCAGUUCCUUAUUGGACACAGAGAUGCCUGAGCAGCCUGAACAGAAAAUGUCAAUUAGAUAUGCCGGUGCACCCCCAUAUAAGCAUUGGACUGUCCCAUAUCACACACCUCUUCAAUGAUCUGGCAGGUUUGCAGGAUCUACUUUGUUUUUAUCAGAAGCCCAACAUCCACCAAUUGAAGUCAGGUGCUGGAGCCAUGUGCACAAUGGUGGCUGAUCUACUUUCCUCCCACCCUGCUUUGACACAAAUGUGUAGAUGAAUCCUGAGCUGCUGCAAACUGCUUAGUAGCUGGUACUAAGAAGGGAGACCACUUGUCAUUCACUGUUUUUAUGGGGAAAGAAAGCAGGACUCUGGGCCUGUUGCAAGAACAGAUGUUACCGAGAUAGCUUGUUUGGGGGCUCCCAGCAGCACCCUUACACCUGUUUCGGAGCUACAGGCUUGUAGUUUCCACUUUUGCCUUUUCAGAAUUUAUGGGAUUGUGGGCUCACCAUUUGGUUUGCAUGAGCUAACUCAUGGCACGUAGUCACCUGGUACGUGGCUCUAGGUCCAAUUUAACCCAUGACUGCAGGAGGACAAUCCCUGUGAUCGCUUCUCUGAUUGCCUUUCAGGUGGGGAAGCAAGAGUAGACAUGAGUUAAUUAAGUGCUAUUCUUCUACAGAACUAGCCAAAUACUCACCCCCUAUGUUGACACAUCGGAUCAGUUCAAUCCUAUCACCUUCCCCCAGAAAGAGAUAGAUAAGAGGUAACAAGCUCAUCUCUUUCUCUAACAAAAUGCUAGUAGCUGGCUUGGGUCACGGGAAGCAAGGUUGUUGAAACAUUCCUAGGCACUCCCAAGGUCUCCUGAAUACACAAGAUAAGCUCUGAUGUGCCCAUUUCAUUCCACCCUACACAGGUUCCUUAACCUAUUCACCUCAUUGUGCUAGUAGAAGCACACCCAGCAAAGUUGAACAGGACAAGGAUGUACUCCUUUGUCUAUCCCUAUUGUUGCCUUUGUCAACAGAAAGGUGUGGCCAGCAUGCCACCUCAGGGCAAGAUGCUGUCUAUUUCUAGUCAAGACACAAUCAAUCAGUGUGUCUCUCCUUUGGAUUAACCAAUUGUGUUUGGGCAUUAGCUAUAUUAUCUUGCUUUGCUUUGUUCCUGUCCCAUUUGUUGCCUCCCAGUCAGCCCUAUUGCCAGGCUUGGCUGCAGCGAGAUACUGGUCUUCUGAGAUCAGACUCCCUUUCGAUUCUUUCCAGCACCCAGAUUCUCGUUUGGUACUUGCAUCCCUAUUCCUGCCUUUUGCCUUCCUACCUGCCCUGAAGGAGAGAGAGGUCCUUUAACAUCGGUCAAACUACAAGGGUCCACAUACUGCACCGGAUGGACUUUGGUAUCACUGUCUCUGCUCCAAAACCUCCUGCUCCCCUCCUUUCUUCCCCCACCCCAAUCCAAAGCUGUCCUCUAAUACCAUUUCUCUGGUCAGCCUUGAGUGGACUUAAUACAGAUCUCAAGCUAAAACACCUCUUCAUAAACCUCAACUUAGUCCUGUUUGUUUGUUAUGUUAUUUUUGCUAGUUAAGUGUUAUAUUGAUUAUUAAUCAUAUUUCAUUUCCUGUACCCCAAGACCCUAAAAUAAACCUGAUUCUAUUUUUGAA